AAUGUAGAGGAUGCGAAGAUUAUCAGUAUCAUAUCUGAUGAGGCUGGCUCAGAUGAGGAUAUGAGAAAGGAAGAUUCGCCGAAGACAUAUAGUACCAGAAGCUAUAUGAUCUGGGUCUUAGAUUAAGAGUCUAAGGACUGUCAUCUUGCAUGCAGGAUGGAGUGCUACGGU
rnacentral:ncRNA from 1 species